GCCCUUUCCUUGGGCUGAGGAAACCACUAUAUCACCCAUGCUGGCUUUCGGGCUAAGCUAUGGCGAUAAACGAGCGGUGUAAUAAACCUAUUGGACCCGGGGGCGGUACCCGGCGCCUCCACCAAAAACCGGCGGUCUCGAAGGUAGGCUUUUGAUGGGGGCGAAACAGGAUCGACAAGGGUGUAAAGAUCGUCUUUUUGCUCGGCAUUGUACCGCCGUUAUCGGGCUAAAAUUGUAGUUGCAAACGACAACUAUGCGGAAGCUCGUCUCGCUGCUUAAUCGCGGUGUGACACUUCAAUCAAAGUCCUAGUGGUUCGCACCUCUAGGCGGGGUCCGAAGGCACCUGGCAACAGAAGCCUUCACC
rnacentral:tmRNA from 1 species